rnacentral:rRNA from 1 species
GAAGAAGGCCUUUUGGUUGUAAAGCACUUUAAGCGAGGAGGAGGCUCCUAUAGAUAAUACCUAUAGUGAGUGGACGUUACUCGCAGAAUAAGCACCGGCUAACUCUGUGCCAGCAGCCGCGGUAAUACAGAGGGUGCGAGCGUUAAUCGGAUUUACUGGGCGUAAAGCGUACGUAGGCGGCUUUUUAAGUCGGAUGUGAAAUCCCUGAGCUUAACUUAGGAAUUGCAUUCGAUACUGGGAAGCUAGAGUAUGGGAGAGGAUGGUAGAAUUCCAGGUGUAGCGGUGAAAUGCGUAGAGAUCUGGAGGAAUACCGAUGGCGAAGGCAGCCAUCUGGCCUAAUACUGACGCUGAGGUACGAAAGCAUGGGGAGCAAACAGGAUUAGAUACCCUGGUAGUCCAUGCCGUAAACGAUGUCUACUAGCCGUUGGGGCCUUUGAGGCUUUAGUGGCGCAGCUAACGCGAUAAGUAGACCGCCUGGGGAGUACGGUCGCAAGACUAAAACUCAAAUGAAUUGACGGGGGCCCGCACAAGCGGUGGAGCAUGUGGUUUAAUUCGAUGCAACGCGAAGAACCUUACCUGGUCUUGACAUAGUAAGAACUUUCCAGAGAUGGAUUGGUGCCUUCGGGAACUUACAUACAGGUGCUGCAUGGCUGUCGUCAGCUCGUGUCGUGAGAUGUUGGGUUAAGUCCCGCAACGAGCGCAACCCUUUUCCUUAUUUGCCAGCGGGUUAAGCCGGGAACUUUAAGGAUACUGCCAGUGACAAACUGGAGGAAGGCGGGGACGACGUCAAGUCAUCAUGGCCCUUACGACCAGGGCUACACACGUGCUACAAUGGUCGGUACAAAGGGUUGCUACCUAGCGAUAGGAUGCUAAUCUCAAAAAGCCGAUCGUAGUCCGGAUUGGAGUCUGCAACUCGACUCCAUGAAGUCGGAAUCGCUAGUAAUCGCGGAUCAGAAUGCCGCGGUGAAUACGUUCCCGGGCCUUGUACACACCGCCCGUCACACCAUGGGAAUUUGUUGCACCAGAAGUA